GUCAACUACCCCCAGCUCACGCAGGGGGCUUGUUCCGUGAGGAACAGCGCAAGAGUUGAUUAGGGGGCUUUAAAAACAUGGAGAAAAACAUGAAAGAAAGGCAGAAGUUAGAUAGGAGAGAUACAUACACACCCACGGAUGCUCCACAAGUCCGUGGCAACUGUG
rnacentral:sRNA from 14 species